GAAAUGCGAUAAGUAGUGUGAAUUGCAGAAUUCAGUGAAUCAUCGAAUCUUUGAACGCACAUUGCGCCCCUUGGUAUUCCAUGGGGCAUGCCUGUUCGAGCGUCAUUUGUACCCUCAAGCUCUGCUUGGUGUUGGGUGUUUGUCCCGUCUCCGCGCGUGGACUCGCCCCAAAGUGAUUGGCAGCCGGCGUACUGGUCCCGGAGCGCAGCACAUGUCGCGCAAACGAGUGCCUUGGUACGGCGGCGUCCAUCAGCCCCUCUCUCACGCUCUUGACCUCGGAUCAGGUAGGGAUACCUGCUGAACUUAAGC
rnacentral:misc_RNA from 1 species